rfam:Elusimicrobia bacterium RIFOXYA2_FTLL_40_6 rifoxya2_full_scaffold_4898, whole genome shotgun sequence.
UGCCGGGUAGUGUAAUGGCAACACGCAUGCCUCUGGAGCAUGUUACUCUAGGUUCGACUCCUAGCCCGGCAG